rnacentral:rRNA from 1 species
GAUGAACGCUGGCGGCGUGCCUAAUACAUGCAAGUCGAGCGAACGGACGAGAAGCUUGCUUUUCUGAUGUUAGCGGCGGACGGGUGAGUAACACGUGGAUAACCUACCUAUAAGACUGGGAUAACUUCGGGAAACCGGAUCUAAUACCGGAUAAUAUUUUGAACCGCAUGGUUCAAAAGUGAAAGACGGUCUUGCUGUCACUUAUAGAUGGAUCCGGGCUGCAUUAGCUAGUUGGUAAGGUAACGGCUUACCAAGGCGACGAUGCAUAGCCGACCUGAGAGGGUGAUCGGCCACACUGGAACUGAGACACGGUCCAGACUCCUACGGGAGGCAGCAGUAGGGAAUCUUCCGCAAUGGGCGAAAGCCUGACGGAGCAACGCCGCGUGAGUGAUGAAGGUCUUCGGAUCGUAAAACUCUGUUAUUAGGGAAGAACAUAUGUGUAAGUAAAUGUGCACAUCUUGACGGUACCGAAUCAGAAAGCCACGGCUAACUACGUG